rnacentral:tRNA from 1 species
GAGUUGGUGCAUAGCUAGAGCAACUGACUUUUAAUCAGUGGGUCACAGGUUCGAAUCCUGUCGGGCUCACCA